UACGUAGGGGGCUAGCGUUGUCCGGAAUCAUUGGGCGUAAAGAGCGUGUAGGCGGUCCGGUAAGUCCGCUGUGAAAGUCGGGGGCUCAACCCUCGAAUGCCGGUGGAUACUGUCGGGCUUGAGUACGGAAGAGGCGAGUGGAAUUCCUGGUGUAGCGGUGAAAUGCGCAGAUAUCAGGAGGAACACCAAUUGCGAAGGCAGCUCGCUGGGACGUUACUGACGCUGAGGAGCGAAAGCAUGGGGAGCGAACAGG
rnacentral:rRNA from 1 species